rnacentral:rRNA from 1 species
UACGUAGGGUGCGAGCGUUGUCCGGAAUUAUUGGGCGUAAAGAGCUUGUAGGCGGUUUGUCGCGUCUGCUGUGAAAAUCCGAGGCUCAACCUCGGACUUGCAGUGGGUACGGGCAGACUAGAGUGUGGUAGGGGAGACUGGAAUUCCUGGUGUAGCGGUGAAAUGCGCAGAUAUCAGGAGGAAUACCGAUGGCGAAGGCAGGUCUCUGGGCUGACACUGACGCUCAUGCACGAAAGCGUGGGGAGCAAACAGG